rnacentral:rRNA from 1 species
UACGAAGGGGGCUAGCGUUGCUCGGAAUUACUGGGCGUAAAGCGCACGUAGGCGGCUCUUUAAGUCGGGGGUGAAAUCCUGGAGCUCAACUCCAGAACUGCCUUCGAUACUGAAGAGCUCGAGUCCGGGAGAGGUGAGUGGAAUUCCGAGUGUAGAGGUGAAAUUCGUAGAUAUUCGGAGGAACACCAGUGGCGAAGGCGGCUCACUGGCUCGGUACUGACGCUGAGGUGCGAAAGCGUGGGGGAGCGAACAGG